rnacentral:rRNA from 1 species
GACGAACGCUGGCGGCGUGCCUAAUACAUGCAAGUUGAGCGAUGAAGAUUGGUGCUUGCACCAAUUUGAAGAGCAGCGAACGGGUGAGUAACGCGUGGGGAAUCUGCCUUUGAGCGGGGGACAACAUUUGGAAACGAAUGCUAAUACCGCAUAACAACUUUAAACAUAAGUUUUAAGUUUGAAAGAUGCAAUUGCAUCACUCAAAGAUGAUCCCGCGUUGUAUUAGCUAGUUGGUGAGGUAAAGGCUCACCAAGGCGAUGAUACAUAGCCGACCUGAGAGGGUGAUCGGCCACAUUGGGACUGACACACGGCCCAAACUCCUACGGGAGGCAGCAGUAGGGAAUCUUCGGCAAUGGACGAAAGUCUGACCGAGCAACGCCGCGUGAGUGAAGAAGGUUUUCGGAUCGUAAAACUCUGUUGGUAGAGAAGAACGUUGGUGAGAGUGGAAAGCUCAUCAAGUGACGGUAACUACCCAGAAAGGGACGGCUAACUACGUG